rnacentral:rRNA from 1 species
CCUACGGGGGACAGCAGUCGAGAAUCAUUCACAAUGGGGGAAACCCUGAUGGUGCGACGCCGCGUGGGGGAAUGAAGGUCUUCGGAUUGUAAACCCCUGUCAUGUGGGAGCAAAUUAAAAAGAUAGUACCACAAGAGGAAGAGACGGCUAACUCUGUGCCAGCAGCCGCGGUAAUACAGAGGCCUCAAGCGUUGUUCGGAAUCACUGGGCGUAAAGCGUGCGUAGGCUGUUUCGUAAGUCGUGUGUGAAAGGCGAGGGCUCAACCCGCGGACGGCACAUGAUACUGCGAGACUAGAGUAAUGGAGGGGGAACCGGAAUUCUCGGUGUAGCAGUGAAAUGCGUAGAUAUCGAGAGGAACACUCGUGGCGAAGGCGGGUUCCUGGACAUUAACUGACGCUGAGGCACGAAGGCCAGGGGAGCGAAAGGGAUUAGAUACCCUUGUAGUC